rnacentral:misc_RNA from 1 species
AAGUCGUAACAAGGUUUCCGUAGGUGAACCUGCGGAAGGAUCAUUAUUGAUUUCGCGGCCCUCACGGGCUGCGUCUUCCCGUGCUCCUCGCACCGUCGGGGACACGGACACACCAUUUGUGCAUCGUAACCGUCGCUUCGCCGGUCGCCACAGAUCAUUGUCAAAUCACGUGUGAGAUUGUAUCGAUCGCGUAAUUCGAUGUUUGAGCUGGUUCACGGCGGUCUCUCGCUUCGCGGCGGGAUACCGACGGCGCGCAGUGCGCCGGCGAAGAUUUAUUUGACACCAACUUGCUUAAAAAAGUCGGCUUGAAAGGCUUCGCGAACAGCAGAAGCAGUUAUUUAUGGAAAACAAUAAAACAACUUUUAACAACGGAUCUCUUGGCUCUC